CCUACGGGUGGCUGCAGUGGGGAAUAUUGGACAAUGGGGGGAACCCUGAUCCAGCCAUGCCGCGUGUGUGAAGAAGGCCCUCGGGUUGUAAAGCACUUUCAGUGAGGAAGAACGCCUGGUGGUUAAUACCCAUCAGGAAAGACAUCACUCACAGAAGAAGCACCGGCUAACUCCGUGCCAGCAGCCGCGGUAAUACGGAGGGUGCGAGCGUUAAUCGGAAUUACUGGGCGUAAAGCGCGCGUAGGUGGCUUGAUAAGCCGGUUGUGAAAGCCCCGGGCUCAACCUGGGAACGGCAUCCGGAACUGUCAAGCUAGAGUGCAGGAGAGGAAGGUAGAAUUCCCGGUGUAGCGGUGAAAUGCGUAGAGAUCGGGAGGAUACCAGUGGCGAAGGCGGCCUUCUGGACUGACACUGACACUGAGGUGCGAAAGCGUGGGUAGCAAACAGGAUUAGAUACCCCUGUAGUC
rnacentral:rRNA from 1 species